CGCCCUCCUUUCUCUUCAUCCUCUUUCUUUCUUUCUCAUCUCCUCUUUCUUUCUCUUCAUCUCCUUUCUUCAUUAAGCCAUCACAUCAGAUCAAGCCCCACCGUCACAAGCAAGCAACGAAUGAACGAGACGCGCCGCCACCAUCCUUUUCAAGAAUUUCGGUUUUCAUGGUCAAAUUCGACCAUGAAAACUCCAGAUCGAAUUUGACCAUAUAUUCCCAUGAGGAAGAAAUAUUAGGAAAGAAAACCCAAAGAAGAUACAACUAGUUCAGAUGAUGAAGAUUAUGCGUAAGAAUCAUAAAUUUGUUGUUAUUCAUUGUUAUUUUUAUGUUAUAUGAAUUUUGAUUUUGCACUAAAAACCCUAAAUAUCUAAAACAUAACUCUUUCUCAAUUAUUUGGAAAGAAAAAGAAGGAAGAAGUAAAAAGUCCAAUUGUUGAUCCAAAAAUUUUAAAGGACUUGGAAAGAGAAGUUCAAACUGAGGAUGAAAAAAGUACAAAUGACAAAGAAAAUGAACGACGUUCAAAUCCUUCUGAACAAACAAAAGAAAUUUCUGAGCAACAAACUUUUGGAACUUGUAACACUAAAACUGUAGAAAUUUCGGACCCCCUUAAUGAAAAAGGAGAAAAUGAUGCUGGACAGCCUAGUGUUGAUCAACCUUCUGUUGAAACUAGGAAACAAGUGUACGCAUUUUAUUUAAUAUUGGAUAAACUUCAUUUAUGUUUAUUUGAUAUUCAGUUUUUAAU